CAAAUGUUCCUUCUAGAUCGGAUGGAGCUUGGAAGUAUUUCAAGAGGUUGUAGCUCAGGUGCCCAUGGGCCAAAGGGCCAUCAUUGUUGCAAAAGAUGUGUCGCCGGCUGACGCUGCUGUGCAAGGUGCUGCUUCUAUUGUUCUUGGGCCCGCUGUCACCCAUCACGCCGGCACCACUACGACUAGUUUUGCCACAAGCGUCUUGGUGUCAUGAUGUCGCAGGGAAUUGUUGUGUGACCACAUCGUCAGCAAAGUAUAAAGCAUCAUCAUUUCCACCGCAUCCUCCCUCGCAAUUCUGGAUGGUACAGCGUUCUCCAUUCAGCAAGAUGGAACAGUCAGUGAACAAAUCUGCGCAAUACUGUUACAUUGUGGAAAUCAUACAGGUACCAUGGGUGUUGAGCAGUUUUGAUAUUCCUUCCAUGUAUUAUAAAUUCCAGAUGUAAAGAUAAUUAAAUGAAACAAAGCUUCUCUGACAAUUUUUAUUUACACAAUCUGUCGAAUGCCUGUGAUGUAUUUUGUUUUAUUAUUCUAGGACAAUAAAA
rnacentral:lncRNA from 1 species